UACAGAGACCUCAAGCGUUAUCCGGAAUCAUUGGGCGUAAAGCGUACCGAUAGGUGGUUUUACAAGUCAGAGGUGAAAUCUCAAGGCUCAACUUUGAGACUGUCCUUUGAAACUGUACAACUAGAGGGGCAAAGAGGAAGCUGGAACGAACGGUGUAGUAGUGAAAUGCGUUGAUAUCGUUCGGAACACCAAUAGCGUAGGCAGGCUUCUGGGUGCCACCUGACACUGCUAGGACGAAAGCGUGGGGAGCGAAUGGG
rnacentral:rRNA from 1 species